rnacentral:rRNA from 1 species
UACAGAGGGUGCAAGCGUUGUUCGGAAUUACUGGGCGUAAAGCGUGCGCAGGCGGUUCGCUAAGACCGAUGUGAAAUCCCCGGGCUUAACCUGGGAACUGCAUUGGUGACUGGCGGGCUAGAGUAUGGCAGAGGGGGGGUAGAAUUCCACGUGUAGCAGUGAAAUGCGUAGAGAUGUGGAGGAAUACCGAUGGCGAAGGCAGCCCCCUGGGCCAAUACUGACGCUCAUGCACGAAAGCGUGGGGAGCAAACAGG